UACGGAGGAUCCAAGCGUUAUCCGGAUUCAUUGGGUUUAAAGGGUGCGUAGGCGGACUGAUAAGUCAGCGGUGAAAUCUCUCGGCUUAACCGAGAAACUGCCGUUGAUACUGUCAGUCUUGAGUACAGAUGAUGUGGGCGGAAUAUGACAUGUAGUGGUGAAAUACUUAGAUAUGUCAUAGAACACCGAUUGCGAAGGACAGCUCACAAAACUGUCACUGACGCUGAGGCACGAAAGCGUGGGGAUCAAACAGG
rnacentral:rRNA from 1 species